rnacentral:rRNA from 14 species
UGCGCAAGGGCACCAAGCCAUUCGGUGGAUGGCUCGGCUCGGGCGCCGAAGAAGGGCGCGGCAAGCGGCGAUAUGCCUGGGGUAGGCGCAAGCAGCCUUUGAUCCCAGGAUUCCCGAAUGGGACUUCCUGCCCAUUAGGGCGUUCCCUUCCAAAAAAAGGGAACGGGAACUCUCCGAACGGAAGCAUCUUAGUAGGAGAAGGAAGAGAAAUCAAAAGAGAUUCCCUGAGUAGGGGCGAUCGAAAGGGGAAUAGCCCAAACCAAAUCUGCCGGUGAUAAGCCGGUGGAGAUGUGGUGUUAUGCUUCUUGCCUGCGGGUUCGACUCGCAACCUUUCUAGCUCAUCUAGCCGAACUCCUCUGGAAUGAGGGACCAUAGAGGGUGAUAGUCCCGUAGGUUAAAGGUGAGUGGAAGGUGGCAAGAAGCAGAGUACCAUCCCCUGGUUUGGGGGUGGGAAGUUAGGGGACACGUGCCUCUAAGGCUAAAUACGUCCCGAGACCGAUAGCGAACUAAGUACUGUGAAGGAAAGCUGAAAAGAACCCGGGAAGGGAGUGAAAAGAGCCUGAAACCGAAUGGUUACACAGGGCAGAGCUCGAAAGAGAUGAGCCCUUCUAAAGGAGGGAGACGCAAGUCUCUAGUACAAGGAAGGGUGAUCGGAGUUCUGCUUUUCGUCUUGAAACACGGGCCGGGGAGCUCAUAUCAGUGGCAAGCCUAAGAGGGUAAACCUCGAAGGCGUAGGGAAACCGAGUGCUCGCAACCUAGGCAACUAGGUGAGGAGCAGGGUCUGUCAGGGCCUGGAGUCACUGGUAUGAGGCUAGAAACCGGGCGAUCUAGACCAGGGCAGGCCGAAGCGGGGGGAAACUCCGGUGGAGGGCCGAAUGGGGGUUCUGACGUGCAAUUCGUUCCCUUGACCUUGGUCUAGGGGCAAAAGACCAAUCUAGCCCGGUGAUAUCUAGUUCCUCCCGAAAUGCGCCCUAGCGCAGCCUCUCUGGAGGUGGCUUGCGGGGUAGAGAGACUGAUUGGGGGUUGGUAGCGAAAGCUACCGAUUUCCAGUCAAACUCCGAACCUGCAGGCACCUGAGAAGGAGGGAGUGGAUCACUCAGCGUAAGGUCGAGUGGUAAGAGGGGAACAACCCCAACUCGGGUUAAGGUCCCUAAGUACUGGCUAAGUGCAAAUUGAAAAGCGUCUCAAGCCCUAGACAGCGGGUAGGUGGGCCCAGCAGCAGCCAUCCUCUAAGGAGUGCGUAACAGCUCACCCGCCGAGGCUUGAGGCCUUUAAGACUGGUCNGGGCUAAAGCCAGCCACCGAGACCCGAGGGGUGAGACUCACUGAGUCUCCCAGGUAGGGAGGCGCCGUGAUAGGGUAGAAGGUGGGCCGAGAGGUCCACUGGACCUUUCACGGGUGCAGAUCCCGGCGGCAGUAAUAGCGAAAGGGAGUGAGAAUCUCCCUCGCCGAAAGGGCAAGGGUUUCCCGGCAAUGGUCGUCAGCCGGGAGUGAGCCGGUCCUAAGGUGAGGCCUAACUGGUACUCACCGAAAGGGAAAGGAGUUAAUAUUCUCCUGCCUCGGAGGUAGGUGCGGUAACGCAAGCUAGACUCCUGACGAAUCGGGGUAGGGGGGGUGAGGUCACCGCCUCACCCAAGUACUUAAGUCCCUGGAGAGCCGUAAUGGUGAGAAGGGGACGAAGGUGCGAUGGGCUUUCCGUAUGGAGAGUUCUCCUGAUCCCUGGUUCCCAUGAAAAGGGAGUCUAGAGCGAUCCUCCGAGUCCGUACCCAGAACCGACACAGGUGCCCCUAGGUGAGAAGCCUAAGGCGUCUGGGGGUUAACUCAGUCUAGGGAACUCGGCAAAAUGGUCCUGUACCUUCGGAAGAAGGGACGCCUACCACUGUAGUAACCCUGCAAUGGUAGGUCGCAGUGACCAGGGGGACCUGACUGUUUAAUAAAAACAUAGGUCCUCGCUAGCCCGUAAGUGUGUGAACGGGGGCUGAAUCCUGGCCACUGGCGGUCGGUGAAACCCGGGUACAACCGGGCGAAGCCCCGCUGAAGGCCGGGGGUAACUCUGACCCUCUCAAGGUAGCCAAAUGCCUUGCCGGGCAAGUUCCGGCGUGCAUGAAUGGAUCAACUGGGCCCCCACUGUCCCAGCCUGGGGCCCCGUGAACGCCCAGAGUGAGUUCACAGUCCCGCAACCCCCUACACCGAGAGAAGACCCCGUGGAGCUUCACUGCAGCCUGGCGUUGGUUCUCGGGCGCUCAUGCGUAGAGUAGGUGGGAGGCGUCGAAGCCGCCUCUUCGGGGGCGGUGGAGCCGAAAGUGAAACACCACCCAUGAGCGCUCGAGAACCUAACCCCGAGAGGGGGACAGCGUCAGGUGGGCAGUUCGGCUGGGGCGGCACUCCCGCGAAAAGAUAACACGGGAGCCCAAAGGCCGGCUCAGGCGGUACAGAACGCCGCCGUAGAGUGCAAGGGCAAAAGCCGGCCUGACGAGUCCCUUCAAAGCACGGGGACUCGACGCGAAAGCGGGGCCUAGCGAACGCUCAUGCCCCCGCACAUGGGGGCUGGGCAUGUCAGAAAAGUUACCCCGGGGAUAACAGGGUCGUCGCGGGCGAGAGCUCCCAUCGACCCCGCGGUUUGCUUCAUCGAUGUCGGCUCUUCCCACCCUGGGGGUGCAGCAGCCCCCAAGGGUAGGGCUGCCCGCCCGUUAAAGGGGAACGUGAGCUGGGUUUAGACCGUCGCGAGACAGGUCGGACUCUAAGGGUAGGGGGUGCAGGCCGCCUGAGGGGAAGGUACCCCUAGUACGAGAGGAACAGGGUACCGGGGCCUCUAGUUUACCGGUUGUCCGGCAGGGCAGUGCCGGGCAGCCACGCCUCGAGGGGUAAUCGCUGAAAGCAUCUAAGCGAGAACCCCUCCCCAAAAAGAGGCGGCCGUGCAGGUGGCCGAAAGGCUGCCUGCGGGAGCCCACUCCUAGAAGAGGGGGUUGAUGGGGUGGGGGUGUAAGUCUCGAGGGCGAAAGUCCGAGGGAUUCAGCCCGCCACUCCCAACGGCAAGCCCAUGCAGU